rnacentral:rRNA from 1 species
GCGCGAAAACUUUACAAUGCUGGCAACAGCGAUAAGGGAACCUCGAGUGCCAGGUUACAAAUCUGGCUGUCGAGAUGCCUAAAAAGCAUUUCAUAGCAAGGGCCGGGCAAGACCGGUGCCAGCCGCCGCGGUAACACCGGCGGCUCGAGUGGUAACCGUUAUUAUUGGGUCUAAAGGGUCUGUAGCCGGCCGGAUAAGUCUCUUGAGAAAUCUGGCAGCUUAACUGUCAGGCUUUCAGGAGAUACUGUCUGGCUCGAGGCCGGGAGAGGUGAGAGGUACUUCAGGGGUAGGGGUGAAAUCUUGUAAUCCUUGAAGGACCACCAGUGGCGAAGGCGUCUCACCAGAACGGACCUGACGGCAAGGGACGAAAGCGUGGGGAUCGAACA